UAGGGAAUCUUCCACAAUGGACGCAAGUCUGAUGGAGCAACGCCGCGUGAGUGAAGAAGGUCUUCGGAUCGUAAAGCUCUGUUGUUGGUGAAGAAGGAUAGAGGCAGUAACUGGUCUUUAUUUGACGGUAAUCAACCAGAAAGUCACGGCUAACUACGUGCCAGCAGCCGCGGUAAUACGUAGGUGGCAAGCGUUGUCCGGAUUUAUUGGGCGUAAAGCGAGCGCAGGCGGAAUGAUAAGUCUGAUGUGAAAGCCCACGGCUCAACCGUGGAACUGCAUCGGAAAACUGUCAUUCUUGAGUGCAGAAGAGGAGAGUGGAACUCCAUGUGUAGCGGUGGAAUGCGUAGAUAUAUGGAAGAACACCAGUGGCGAAGGCGGCUCUCUGGUCUGCAACUGACGCUGAGGCUCGAAAGCAUGGGUAGCGAACAGGAUUAGAUACCCUGGUAGUCCAUGCCGUAAAACGAUGAGCGCUA
rnacentral:rRNA from 1 species